rnacentral:tRNA from 1 species
UCCCUGGUGGCUCAGUGGUUAAAGAACCUGCCUGCAAUGCAGGUGAUAUGGGUUCAGUUCCUAGGUUGGGAA